rnacentral:rRNA from 1 species
UACGUAGGGGGCUAGCGUUGUCCGGAAUCAUUGGGCGUAAAGAGCGUGUAGGCGGCCCGGUAAGUCCGCUGUAAAAGUCAAAGGCUCAACCUUUGAAUGUCAGUGGAUACUGCCGGGCUAGAGUCCGGAAGAGGCGAGUGGAACUCCUGGUGUAGCGGUGGAAUGCGCAGAUAUCGGGAGGAACACCAGUGGCGAAGGCGACUACCUGGCCUGUUCUUGACGCUGAGGCGCGAAAGCUAGGGGAGCAAACGGG